AGAGUUUGAUCCUGGCUCAGAUUGAACGCUAGCGGGAUGCUUUACACAUGCAAGUCGAACGGCAGCGCGGACUUCGGUCUGGCGGCGAGUGGCGAACGGGUGAGUAAUGUAUCGGAACGUGCCCAGUAGCGGGGGAUAACUACUCGAAAGAGUAGCUAAUACCGCAUACGCCCUACGGGGGAAAGGGGGGGAUCUUAUGACCUCUCACUAUUGGAGCGGCCGAUAUCGGAUUAGCUAGUUGGUGGGGUAAAGGCCUACCAAGGCAUCGAUCCGUAGCUGGUUUGAGAGGACGACCAGCCACACUGGGACUGAGACACGGCCCAGACUCCUACGGGAGGCAGCAGUGGGGAAUUUUGGACAAUGGGGGAAACCCUGAUCCAGCCAUCCCGCGUGUGCGAUGAAGGCCUUCGGGUUGUAAAGCACUUUUGGCAGGAAAGAAAUUGCAUGGGCUAAUACCCUGUGUAGAUGACGGUACCUGCAGAAUAAGCACCGGCUAACUACGUGCCAGCAGCCGCGGUAAUACGUAGGGUGCAAGCGUUAAUCGGAAUUACUGGGCGUAAAGCGUGCGCAGGCGGUUCGGAAAGAAAGAUGUGAAAUCCCAGGGCUUAACCUUGGAACUGCAUUUUUAACUGUCGAACUAGAGUGCGUCAGA
rnacentral:rRNA from 1 species